UAUAGCUCAGUAGUAGAGCUUUGGCCUGGCAUGCCCAAGACCUUGGGUUCAGUCCCCAGUA
rnacentral:tRNA from 1 species